rnacentral:rRNA from 1 species
GACGAACGCUGGCGGCGUGCUUAACACAUGCAAGUCGAACGGAAAGGCCCUGCUUUUGUGGGGUGCUCGAGUGGCGAACGGGUGAGUAACACGUGAGUAACCUGCCCUUGACUUUGGGAUAACUUCAGGAAACUGGGGCUAAUACCGGAUAGGAGCUCCUGCUGCAUGGUGGGGGUUGGAAAGUUUCGGCGGAUGGGGAUGGACUCGCGGCUUAUCAGCUUGUUGGUGGGGUAGUGGCUUACCAAGGCUUUGACGGGUAGCCGGCCUGAGAGGGUGACCGGCCACAUUGGGACUGAGAUACGGCCCAGACUCCUACGGGAGGCAGCAGUGGGGAAUAUUGCACAAUGGGCGGAAGCCUGAUGCAGCAACGCCGCGUGCGGGAUGACGGCCUUCGGGUUGUAAACCGCUUUCGCCUGUGACGAAGCGUGAGUGACAGUAAUGGGUAAAGAAGCACCGGCUAACUACGUG